GUGUGUAACAACUCACCUGCCGAAGCAACUAGCCCUGAAAAUGGACGAUGUUGUAGCGUGGAGCCGAUACUCGGCCGUAAUGACGAUUCGAGAGAAUGCGAUGUCAUUACGAGUAGGAGGGCCGCGAUGAUAGCGUUGAAGAUGUCGGACGUAAGUCCGCUUGGAGCUGUCAUUGGUGCAGAUCUUGGUGGUAGUAGCAA
rnacentral:rRNA from 1 species